rnacentral:lncRNA from 1 species
UUUUUAUAAUAACUGAAGAGAGAGCUAAAAAAAAAAAAAAAAAAGAAUUCUCCCGAAAAUAGAUGCAUCUCUCUGUAACCAGCUGUUCAAGAUACCGGGACGAAAGGAACAAAGUGAUUUUCUCAGAGACCUGGUUACAUUUGCUUUCCAAGCUAUGACAGCAGUUCAACACGCAAGCCAAAUAUCACCUGAUUUCAUCAUUGCUUGAGACAGUUAGGUCCGGAAAUCAGUUUAGAUAGUAAGUAAAUAACUGAAGCUGUUAUUUUUUCCUAAUUACAAAUUGUGUUUUUUGUUUCAUGUGUCAAAGUAAUGAUCAGUCUGCAUGUUAUUUAGUGCUGUAACACAUCCUAAAGUUUGCCUCUUAAUUCCUUUGUGCUAAUGUGGUGACUUUCUGAGUGUUAUUUAUGAAUACAUGUUUAUGUCAUAUUAUACCAACAGAAUAUGCCAAGAGUUAAGGUCAGAAAGACAGACGGGGGUCUGAUUCAGCCAGAUGUAUAUGAGAGGCGUUUCUGGACAUAUCUGUCAGGAACAUCAGCCUCAGGGCAGCUGUCGUGUUAGUUUGCUCAGAUACUGCAGGAGGAGAAGACUAGACCACCAGGACACAGAUCACAGUCUCAAGUCUUCUCCGUGGACCAAGAGAGGAAACUGCAGGCUUAUAUUGUGAGUGCAGCUGAUAUUUAUUUUAACCUAUCUCUUAAGAAGAUCAGUGUAGUAAAGCCAAAACACUCAACAUGCAGCUCACUCACACUGCUCUUACUCAAACUAUUUUAAAUGCUUAUUAAAAUGUGAGAUUUGUGUAUUCUUUAAACAUGUUUUUCAUUUCUCUCCUGAUUAAAAAUGUUUUUUAUUAUCGUUUUUAAAUUGUUUCGUUUUCCACUCUUUCUGAAGCUGCUGCAACAUGUAAAAAUCCCCAGUUCAGGAUCAGUGUAGUCUUAUUUUAUCUUAAUCAUGUCAUAAAAUAUCUCAAUUUAACCAGUUUGUUAUGUUUAGAUGUGCACAUUUGCAUAUGAAGUGGCCAGCAGAUGUGGCUGCAAAUAUCCAGAUGGAUGGGAUGCCAGGAGGAUGAUGGGAAAGGACUGGCUCAUCUCCUUCCUUGAACACAACAAUAUAUCGUCUGUUCACCGUCCUCAAGACACCAGCAUGUCCCGCUCCACCAGCUUCAGUUAA